AUCAGCCUACGGGGGGCAGCAGUGGCGAAUAUUGGGCAAUGGGCGCAAGCCUGACCCAGCAACGCCGCGUGAAGGAAGAAGGCUUUCGGGUUGUAAACUUCUUUUCUCAGGGACGAAUAGAUGACGGUACCUGAGGAAUAAGCCACGGCUAACUACGUGCCAGCAGCCGCGGUAAUACGUAGGUGGCAAGCGUUAUCCGGAUUUACUGGGUGUAAAGGGCGUGUAGGCGGGGACGCAAGUCAGAUGUGAAAAC
rnacentral:rRNA from 1 species